rnacentral:rRNA from 1 species
CCUACGGGUGGCAGCAGUGAGGAAUAUUGGUCAAUGGGCGUAAGCCUGAACCAGCCAAGUCGCGUGAGGGAUGAAGGUUCUAUGGAUCGUAAACCUCUUUUAUAAGGGAAUAAAGUGCGGGACGUGUCCCGUUUUGUAUGUACCUUAUGAAUUAGGAUCGGCUAACUCAGGGCAAGCAGCCGCGGUAAUACGGAGGAUCCGAGCGUUAUCCGGAUUUAUUGGGUUUCAAGGGUGCUGAGGCGGCCUUUUAAGUCAGCGGGGAAAGGCUGUGGCUCAACCAUAGAAUUGACGUUGAUAAUGGGAGGCUUGAGUAUGUUUGAGGCAGGCGGAAUGCGUGGUGUAGCGGUGAAAUGCUUAGAUAUCACGCAGAACCCCGAUUGCGAAGGCAGCCUGCCAAGCCAUGACUGACGCUGAUGCACGAAAGCGUGGGGAUCAAACAGGAUUAGAUACCCGAGUAGUC